rnacentral:pre_miRNA from 1 species
GGAGUUCUGUUGUACACUCAGACUGUGGCUAUGGGAAGGUCAGUGCAUCACAGAACUUUGU